UACGUAGGGGGCUAGCGUUGUUCGGAAUUACUGGGCGUAAAGGGCUCGUAGGCGGCUAACUAAGUCCGACGUGAAAUCCCCAGGCUUAACCUGGGAACUGCGUCGGAUACUGGAUGGCUUGAAUUCGGGAGAGGGAUGCAGAAUUCCAGGUGUAGCGGUGAAAUGCGUAGAUAUCUGGAGGAAUACCGGUGGCGAAGGCGGCAUCCUGGACCGACAUUGACGCUGAUGAGCGAAAGCUAGGGGAGCAAACGGG
rnacentral:rRNA from 1 species